GAACAUUUAGAACAAAAAUGGAGGAAGAGCUGUCGCUGGCAGCUAAUGGCCUUGGGUUGGCCCCAGCUAGCCAGACAGAGCAGCUGCCCUGGGCAGUGGCGGCUGCGAGGAGAAUGCGAGCACCUCACCCUGUCCCUGUUGGAGGACAGCUGAGGCCUGUCUGCUUGGUCAGCUGUCUUUCUGCUUCCCUCACAGGUCCUGGAUGCCAGUGGGUGCCUGCUGCACCCUGGCUUGGAAGGAUGGGUAUAAGGAGGGUGAGGAAGGAAAGGAAUCUGACCGCCUCCCGUUCCAGCCCCCAGGACCUCUCGUGAGCACCCACUACCUCAUUCACCCACUCACAUUUGGCAAGGAGUGAGGAAUUGACUCACUCCAACUGCCAAAUGAGCCCUGCCCCAAAGAUCCCCAAAUGGGGUCAGCCACCAGGUCUCAGAGCCUAGCUGGUGUCUCUCCAGGUCAGUGUCUGAACUCAGAGAAGCUUCUAGAUUCUGACUAGCAAGAGGGAGAAAUCUGGGAUGGCAAGUAUGGUUUCCUAAAUUUUUAUUUCCUUGGCCUAUUCCUUGGGUCAGUCUGAUAGCAGGCAUCCCAGGGGCCCAGGCCCACGUAGGUAAGUAUGCCCUCUGAGUGCUGAGUGAGUCUGACGGGUAUGAGCCACUGGGUUCACAGUCCCAUUUGAGGGCCCCUGGGGGUCCUGAGGCCUUGAAGCCAAAGCUGUCUCACACUAAUCUGUUUCUUACUUUUUUCAUAAAGAUGCAGCAACAAAGGUGAGAGAGGCCACUGGAGCCUCCACCAGGCAAAGCAGGGCCCAAGAUCAUCAUAGCUUCCACCACUGAGCUCCCAUCUUCUUAACACUUUAGGUGACAAAAGGGAACGUCCACACCACACGCUAUCGAGGUAAGGUGCGGAGUGGUCGGAAGGGAGCGCGGGUGCUGCCCACGUCUGUGUGGCAAGCAGCAUAGUCACUUUUCUACAUGGAACACAACUUUUACUUGAGAAAACCUCCCAAGCUGUGGUUAUUCUGACUUAAGAAUUUGGAAGCUAUUUUCUUGAGAAUCAACUAAAUGCACCUGUGGUCCUCAGGAAGCCAGUAGACUGUUGCCAAUGAUGAAAAUAUUCAGACUUUGAAAGAAGCUUAGAAUUUUGGAAAACUUGUAUCAUCAUGAGUUGACACAUUCCCAGCAUUUAGGGACUUUUCUGUUGAGAUCAAUGGUGAUGUUAGGGAAAUGUGAUUUUGGAUGAUGUACAACAGGUCAACGUUUGGAGGACCUACCUUUGCUCAGCAAACUAUUACUUUCAGAUGGCUCAUGUACAACGUUACAAAAUCAUAUGUGGGAAAAGGUCCAUUUAAAAUACAAGGCAGACAGUGUUUUGCUUUUUUUGUUUGUUUUAGUUUGGG
rnacentral:lncRNA from 1 species